rnacentral:rRNA from 1 species
UACGGGGGGGGCAAGCGUUGUUCGGAAUUACUGGGCGUAGAGGGCCAGUAGGCGGCCAACUAAGUCGGAUGUGAAAUCCCCAGGCUUAACUUGGGAACUGCAUCCGAUACUGGAUGGCUUGAAUUCGGGAGAGGGAUGCAGAAUUCCAGGUGUAGCGGUGAAAUGCGUAGAUAUCUGGAGGAAUACCGGUGGCGAAGGCGGCAUCCUGGACCGACAUUGACGCUGAACGGCGAAAGCUAGGGGAGCAAACGGG